CAUACGAGUGGCUGCAGUGGGGGAUAUUGCACAAUGGGGGGAACCCUGAUGCAGCGACGCCGCGUGGGUGAAGAAGGGCCUCGGCGCGUAAAGCCCUGUCAGUAGGGAAGAAAAUGACGGUACCUGAAGAAGAAGCCCCGGCUAACUACGUGCCAGCAGCCGCGGUAAUACGGAGGGGGCAAGCGUUAUCCGGAUUUACUGGGUGUAAAGGGGGCUACGACGGGGAGGCAAGCCAGGAGUGAAAGCCCGGGGCCCAACCCCGUGACUGCUCUUGGAACUGCGUGGCUGGAGUGCAGGAGGGGCAGGCGGAAUUCCUGGUGUAGCGGUGAAAUGCGUAGAUAUCAGGAGGAACACCGGUGGCGAAGGCGGCCUGCUGGACUGCAACUGACGUUGAGGCCCGAAAGCGUGGGGAGCAAACAGGAUUAGAUACCCUUGUAGUC
rnacentral:rRNA from 1 species